rnacentral:rRNA from 1 species
GACGAACCGUGCGAACGUUGUUCGGAAUCACUGGGCUUAAAGGGCGCGUAGGCGGGCUCUCAAGUCAGGGGUGAAAGCCCCCAGCUCAACUGGGGAAGUGCCUUUGAUACUGGUGGUCUCGAGGGGGAUAGGGGCAUGCGGAACUUCCGGUGGAGCGGUGAAAUGCGUAGAUAUCGGAAGGAACACCGGUGGCGAAAGCGGCGUGCUGGAUCCCUUCUGACGCUGAGGCGCGAAAGCCAGGGGAGCGAACGGG